CACACACACACACACACACACACACACACCAAGCUGUGCACCCAUCACUCCACAGGACAUUAUGUUGACAUACACUAAUUUCAUGCAGACUUAUGCUGAACCAAACCAUAAUAACACUUACUGUAAACUAAUGUAAUGUAUGUUGCACCAUAACGUGACUUUAUAAUCACAUUAAUAAUUCUCUCUCUCCCUCUCUUUUCCUUCCUCUGGUUUCAGGAGGAGUCUUUCACUUAAUGCAUCCAGUCAGUCGGGCUUGUGUCCCAUUUAUCUUGUUAUAUAACAGCCAGCUGGCAAAGUCUGAAUAGGACCUCCAUCCCCUCCAUCUUUCAGUAUGCGAGCACCUCCUUGCACAGCCUCUCUCACACUAAACAAGGCCUGAAAAUAAAAAGAACGACACACACACAAACACUCAUCUGUUUUUUUCAACAUGUGCAAUGCCUUUGUGACAGGGGAUUUUUAGUGUAGGUCUCCCCAAAUUUGGUUGAAUUCCAAGCAGAGAUACACUGAGCCCCUUCACUGUAGUCCUGACAAAUGAGCCUCUUGAGAAUGACCUCUGACCUCACUGGGGUCCUCUAUUCAUGUCUGAGGGAUAAAACACAGCCCAACUAUUGACUAGCAUAAAUUUUAACUGUGGGAGGAUCUGCCAGUCCCUUUUCUUCUUGAUAUCAAAUAUUUAGAUAAUAAAUAUAUUCAUAUUUUCUACUUCAUACCUCACAUUUCAUAAAAGACUAUUCCUGUACAAAGGACACAUUAGUAGUUCAGGAAUACUUAUAAUAGCCACCAUGCAAAUAUCUCCUUCUUUUUUCCAGCUGCUGUGGCAUUUUCUCCCUUGUUGUGGUAACUAACUUUGCUUAUUUACAGAUUAACCUUUACAACUUAUUCUAGUUAAAUUUGACCUUGUUUGACAUUUGUCAUCAGUAAAAAACCCCUAAAUGUCAUUCUUUUAUCCUGACAUUUGGUGUCUUUUCCUUCUGAGUGACCAAAAAUAUAAACAAUUUGAAAUACAAAUACAAAUUUUUCUAUCUAUUCAGAUACAAAAAUUUGACCCACCAGUGUGGGAAGACCUCAACACUGCCAUGAGAAAUGAACUCAAAGAACUUUCGUCCUAUAAUUCUCAUUCACCAAAAUACGUCUUUCUAUCCAUAACCUAACAUUCAUAUACUCAGAAGACAGAGUUCAGAAUCUUGUUCAAGAAUGCUUUAAUGUCCAGACCAGAGAAGCCAGUGAUCGAACCACCGACCUUCUGAUGGGUAGAUAACCUGCUCUACCUCCUGAGGCAGAGCCGCCCAAACAUGAGAACAGUCUGCGUUCUCAAAUCUCUGAGCACAGUUUCCUGCAGGGACAGACACACGCUGGUCUUUGAAGGAUAAUGAGGGAAUCUCCAUCCCAUCAUCUUCCACUCAUCUAAUUCUGGGUUGCAGUGGGGCUGGAGCCUAUCCCAGCUGUCACAGUACACCCUGGACAGGUCACUAAUCAGUCGCAGGGCCUUAGUUAAAGCGCGACUUGUAGUUAAAUGCUCUUUGAGUGGUAUGACUAAAAAAAGGACUACAUGAAUAUGAGUACAUUACAAUUGCACCUACAAUGUAACAAAAUAAAAACAAAUUAGAAUAGCUCUGAAUGCACAUAAUAGCUUGGAAUAAGUAAGAUUUGUGUUCUAAGUGUUAAUUAAUUAUUUAUUAUUUUUAAAGAUAUAGCAGAGUGGACAGUGUUUAAUGCCUGUAAUGGUUAUACAUGAUUAUAUAUGAUAAAUCCCAACAGUUCUAGUUCUACAUUCAAUACAAUAUAAUUCAGUCAUUAUAGCUUUUUGUUUUCAUGUCUUGGGUAACACAGAAGAAAAACAAGAGUUGUACAUGUCAGGGGUUGUGUAGCGGGGACGAUCUGAUAUCGUCGUGUUGGCGUUGUUCCCACAUCAUCAUAAUUAAUGUUCUUCCAGGGUCCACAUUACAAGUAACCAAUCACCUUCUUGUGACGUCAUACUUUUGCGACUUCGCCUUAAAAAAACAAAUGUUCUUCGAGAAACCGCCUUUUGUCCGCUGAUCCAGCAAUUUCAAUUCCUCUCAAGAUACUUUUCUUUAAUAAACGAAAUAGACGAUAUAAUUAGAAGAAGUGUCCUGAAUGACGAAAAAAAAAGAACUGGAAAAGAUACACAACUUUGUGUGCAUGUGUCACAAUGCCAGGAGGACCCAUUCAGUGUUGUGUUAGAAAAAUUGAACUCAUUAACCCUUCAUGGACAUUAUAAAUGUUUAAAUGUGGCCUCAGGUAAAGACAGGAAAAGAGACUAUUACAAAUUCAACUGCAUCAGAGCUGGAAAAAAAAGUCGAAACAGCUACAGAGCAGUGGGCUGUAAGGCCUAUGUUUCAUUUAAAGUACUCAAAUGUUGGAAAGACCACACAGUCAUCGUGCAGCUUACAUAUGAUAAGCAUGAUGGGCAUGAUCCUUCGGACCCAAAAGACGCACAUUUCAACAAUAUUUCCAGUGAUUUGAGGAGGAAGAUUGAGGAACUGCUUUCCCUUGGAACUAAGCCAGCCAUCAUACUAACCGAAUGUCAUAAAUGGGCCAAAGAACAUGGACACAGAGAUCUUCACAACAGAGAGCAUUUUGUCACACCACAUGACAUUGACAGUGUUAGAACCUGCAUGAUGAGGAAGAAGCACUUUAACUGUAGAGACAGUCAAAGUGUACAUACCUUACUUAAUGGAAAACAUCAAGAACAUGUUCUCUUCUAUCAACCAUACACAUCUGAUCAAGAACUAAUGAUUGUUUUGCAGACACCUGUAAUGAAAUCAAACAUGGAGAACUAUGCAAAACAGUUAGUAUUUGUUGACACCACGCAUUGUGUUAACCAGUAUUCAUUUCCCUUAUUCACACUUGUUGUAAGAGAUGAUCAUGGGCGUGGAGUCCCUGUGGCCUAUGCUAUUGUCAGCAACGAAAGUCAGAAAACCCUGGAAAUCGUUCUUGGAAUAGUUUGUGAGCAUUUACCAACUUCCCCGAGAGCAUUUAUGGUUGACAAAGACUUUGCGGAAAUAAAUGCUUUGCAGAAGGUUUUUCCAGAGUCAGCUAUCCUUCUAUGCUGGUGCCAUGUCUUGCAGGCUGCUAAUCGAUGGCUUUCAAAAUCUGAGUCUGGGGUCCAUGGGCUUUCUAACACCCAAAAGAGAAAUGAAAUCAUUUCUUUCUUUUGUAAGCUGAAAGCUUGCACAUCUUGUGGUAUGUUGGAGCAGCGGUUUAUCGGCAGCUGAGAGGAAGAGGUUGGAUAAACUCA